UACGGGGGGGGUAAGCGUUGUUCGGAAUUACUGGGCGUAAAGGGCGCGUAGGCGGCCUGUUAAGUCGAACGUGAAAUCCCCGGGCUCAACCCGGGAACUGCGUCCGAUACUGGCAGGCUUGAAUCCGGGAGAGGGAUGCGGAAUUCCAGGUGUAGCGGUGAAAUGCGUAGAUAUCUGGAGGAACACCGGUGGCGAAGGCGGCAUCCUGGACCGGCAUUGACGCUGAGGCGCGAAAGCGUGGGGAGCAAACAGG
rnacentral:rRNA from 1 species